UACGGGGGGCAGCAGUGGGGAAUUUUGGACAAUGGAAACCCUGAUCCAGCCAUCCCGCGUGUGCGAUGAAGGCCCUCGGGUUGUAAAGCACUUUUGGCAGGAAAGAAACAGCGCAGGAUAUUACCCGUGCAACUGACGUACCUGCAGAAUAAGCACCGGCUAACUACGUGCCAGCAGCCGCCGUGUACGUAGGGUGCAAGCGUUAAUCGGAAUUACUGGGCGUAAAGCGUGCGCAGGCGGUUCCGGAAAGAAAGAUGUGAAAUCCCAGAGCUUAACUUUGGAACUGCAUUUUUAACUACCGAGCUAGAGUGUGUCAGGGAGGUGGAAUUCCCCGCGUGUAGCAGUGAAAUGCGUAGAUAUGCGGAGGAACACCGAUGGCGAAGGCAGCCUCCUGGGACAACACUGACGCUCAUGCACGAAAGCGUGGGGAGCAAACAGGAUUAGAUACCGCGUAGU
rnacentral:misc_RNA from 1 species